rnacentral:rRNA from 1 species
UACGUAGGUGGCAAGCGUUGUCCGGAUUUAUUGGGUUUAAAGGGUGCGUAGGCGGUCAUAUAAGUCAGCGGUGAAAUCCGGCAGCUCAACUGUCGAUGUGCCAUUGAUACUGUAUGACUUGAGUACUGAUGAGGUAGGCGGAAUUGACGGUGUAGCGGUGAAAUGCUUAGAUAUCGUCAGUAACACCGAUAGCGAAGGCAUCUUACUGAGCAGUAACUGACGCUGAGGCCCGAAAGUGUGGGGAUCAAACAGG